rnacentral:rRNA from 1 species
UACGUAGGGGGCAAGCGUUGUCCGGAAUCAUUGGGCGUAAAGCGCGUGUAGGCGGCCAGAAAAGUCCGCUGUGAAAACUCGAGGCUCAACCUCGAGCUGUCGGUGGAAACUUUCUGGCUAGAGUCCGGAAGAGGAGAAUGGAAUUCCUGGUGUAGCGGUGAAAUGCGCAGAUAUCAGGAAGAACACCCGUGGCGAAGGCGGGUCUCUGGGCAGUAACUGACGCUGAGGAACGAAAGCGUGGGUAGCAAACAGG